UUUUUUUGUUGUAAAAUCUGCGUUGAAACAUUACACUCACUGUUUUUAGCAAUUGAAUUGUUGAAUCAGCAAUUUUUUUUUCCGUGUACGAAAAUCAAAUUAAUUUAGGGUGCAUGCACCGUAGAGGGAUCCAACGGGGGGGGGGGGGCGUGCGCCGUGCUAAGGAAAAAUGCCAUAUGAGCCCUCUGACGUUGCUUUUCCUUUGAUAAAUCAAGGAUUUUCGAGCAAAUUUGUAUAUACUUUCCCUCCGAUUUUCCAUGAUUUGUUUUGUAAUUUUGUUUGUAAUUUGAUCCAAAGGGUCUAAAAUUUCAGACCCCUGAAAUUUUUUUCAAAAAAUUUCAUAACUUUCUUCACGACUAAGUAUUUCCUGAGAAGAAAUUUGGCAACAUUCUAAUGCUUAUACGGCGUUUAUCCUCAGCACGGCAGCGUGGGGGCGCACGGUCCUUAAGAGGAAGGAAGUAAGGCGCUUAAAUUUAAUAAUUAUUAAUCCGCACAAAAUUAACUCAAACUGCGCAUUAGAUGCUUCAAACAUUCAGAUUUUUCUAGGUGAGGCCCCUGGACCCUCCUCCCCCUCCUUUCCGCUCCCUUCGCGUUCGAGGUGUCCGGAUCCGCCUAUGACAUGCACACAGCCGUGUUAACAUUCUUGAAGCGAAAAGAAUGUAGUUUCAUUCGUGAACUAAAUGGAAUGGACUUAAUCUUAUCUCCAAUCAGCUGUGAACAACUUUAGAUGUAUCAUUUUUAAUCAAUUGUUUUUUUGGUUUUUUUUUUUUUUGGGUCACCAAUUUGUAAUAUUUGACUCCGGAUAGUGAGUGAGCCCAGUUUUCAUUUUUUAUCAUAGUUGCUCGAAAAGAGCAUAUGGUUUUCCAUUUGGUCCAGUGUAAUACUUGUACAAACUAUACGAACCACUUGUAUUAUGCAGGUAGACUUCCUAAGCGUAAAAUGUCAGGAUGGGCUGGACGAUUAUUUCGCCAAAACAAACGAGACAUUGAAAAAAGACGGGAGCCAAUACUUGAAAGCACUGGAAGUUUUUGAAAAAACCAAUUCUAGCUUUGAAUCCUUGACGUCAUCCAUUAGGCACUUAUUCAAGCACAUAGAUCUUUCCAGGCAGGAUGAACUGUCCUCAGUCUUAUACGCAUUCCCGAAACUGCGACCAGACCUCUUCCCCUUAGUUGAGGAGCGGAAGAUUGCCCAAAGAGAAUCCUCUCACAGAAUAUCUAACGUCUCCAUCAAGAGGAAGGAUGACCUUUUCUUUAUAUUCUUCCCCACUCGCACAAACGUGGAAUGGAUGUUUAAGUGCAUAAAUUACACCGACGGAAAAAUGUUUUACAGAACUGUUUCGGAGCCAAUCACGGAUUUGGUUAUGGUGCAGCUAACUUGGGAAAAAUCAGCUGCGUUUAAGGAAAACCGAACGCUCACGGCAGAGUAUCGAUGGGCUCCGCCUAAGGAUAGUAAGAAUGUUGCGUUUGUAACACAAGCAUUCAAGAACGAUGAUGAAGAACAGUGAAAUUGUAUAAUUAAAAAUAAGAAAAAUUAUUACAGAGUGUUUACUUUUCUUCAGGUCAUCUUGUGAAGCGUUUUUCAUACAUCAAAAAACAACAACAAGAACAAAAAAUAACAUCAAAACUCACAACGACAAAACUGUAAAACUUUAAAUGAAACUCUGAUUGAAAACCGAUAAAACACCAAUCGCGGCUCGAGCACGUCAACAAUAUCGGUAUGUAAAAAACAAGGUUCAGUGUCUGUUUCUUGUUAAGUUUUUAAGUCUUUAGGUCUUUGAAUUUCCUAAGUGUUUGUUGUUUUUUUUAAAAAAAGACCAUUGUUUGAUCAACCGUUUUAUUUCGUAAAUACAUUUUUUUUUGACUUUUUUAAUUUGUUAGUUGACGUUAGUACAAAACGAAGAAUUACAAUUCCCAAAAGCUUAUUCUUUAGCACACUCUCGGAGAUUAUUGCCGGCUUAGCUGGUCAGUGUCGCAAAUCAGAUAAGUUUACGCACAUUAGGAGUGCGACAGAGGAUCAACCGUCUCCAGUUCAGCACAGGGCCGGACUAAGGAGGUGACCACGUGGGCCGCGGCCCAUGGCGGCAAAUUUAGGGGGCGGCAAACUUUGCAAUUUUUUUAAAUGUAGGUGUAAAAAAAUCGGAUUCAGAAAAAAAAAAAAUUAUCAAUGAGAAAAGGGACUAAAUCUCUUUUUCCUGAGAGUAAAGUAAUUUUUAGUUUUGUCGUUUUUCGGUGAUACAAGAGACAGCUUCUUUAAUUAGUCGAGUUAAGAGAGGAACUAUAUACGCAAUUUGGCCUGGAGCUCAGCGCAGAGAGGAAUGAUGACGAGGACUUGAGAUGAAAAGGACAAACCCUCAGCACGCCGGUCGACAUGUAACACAUAUUAGCGCCUACAAGACUGCAUGAAUACUUCACCCAUUGCGUCAAAUGCAGUGCGGUCAGCGUGAAACGCAUAGCGCCUACAAGACUGCAGGAAUACUUCACGCAUUGCGCCAAACACAGUGCGAUCAGACCAGCGCAGCGGCGGAAGUUAAAAUUAUUAAACCACAUUCAUGUUUGUUCUUUCAUAAUUUUUGGUUCAUUUCUUAUAAAUGGAGGACCUUGUCCAGACAGAGCUAUAUUUACGGAGCUUAACUUUCGCGCAAAGUUCCGUGAAAUUUUGCUAGUACCAUGUUCUAUGAAAGCCAGCCGAAUUGGCAUUAAAAUGUAUUUGUCUAUAGCUUUGUCUAUACAUUUCAAUAAUCGGCCUGCUCCGGAGACUUGGGCGUUAGCGUUUGGCCUUUGAUCUCCUAAAGUGGCAGCGUCGAUUCCACAAGGCAGUUGCAGCUGUUUCGGGAAAGCGCAAACAAAUCAUGCAAGUGCUCGGGCAGCUUUCUGAGCAUGCUGUAAGUUUAGUGGAGCGACAACUAGGCUGGUCGUCGGAGGUUGUGAAAACCCGUGCGAAAUGCGCAAAACCAUCGGCCGAUUAAUUAUGUUCGUUUCAAAAUUCUCCAACUGCACACCGAACCGCAUUCGUGCAACCACUGAGCCGCCCGCAAUGCACCGCUCCCGCUCCACGCGGAGCCUCGAAAUUACACUGCACCCAGGAGUCAUUACCACGAACGAGGUAAUAUCCUCGUUCCUCCGGCGUAACGUCGUAUCUCGAUUUCUAAGUGAGCCCUGGUUUACAUAUGAAUCCAUGCUCUCUGGGGCUCAUGGGGGAAAAGAGAUACAUCCUUACGUUAGAGGAGCGGCGAUAUGGGAAUACUGCACUCGGAGACAGAAUAUUCCAGACACUCCGUCGGCUCGCAUUAAGGCUCGUAAAGGCUAUUUGGACGUGUUUCUGCCAAACGGACCUAUGUGCUUUAAGACAUGAGCCCUGAGACCCAUAAGAAUAUAUGCGUGACAGGGCUCACGUCAUAAUGCACAUAGUUCCGUUCGGCAGAAAUAGGUCCAGUUGGACUCCGUUUCGCAAUCGGGAUCUACUAUUUGUGGCUCUUUUUUUUUUUUUUUUUUUUUUUUUUUUUUUAACUACUUCAAGUAGCCCCAAGGGCUAAUCCCGCGCUUCGGUCCCGUCCCCCCUCCGUCCCUAACAACCAGUCCCAGGCAACCAUUGUUUGAGACCAUCAAACUCGGGUCGCCUGGCCGGGAAUCGAACCCGGGACCUCCCGAUCAUAGAGCUAGCGCUACAACCACUACACCAUAGGAGGCCGACAUCAUUUCAUAGGAGGCCAUUUCAUAGACAACAUACGGAACGUUUGACUCCUCCUGCAUAUAUGUGUUUUUAUAGAUACUCCAGUAGUAGUGAUUCCGUCUUGCAAAAAGGUCUUCUAAUUUGGACCGCGUUAAACAGAAAGGGACCAAGCCACAUCAGCUAUUGCCAAAUUUAACAGGGGAAUUUGAUUUUUACGAGAGAACGUUUGUGUGGAUUCCCUUGAAGAUUUUAAGGAAUUUGCUUUGUAUUAUGGAGAAAAUUCAUAGAAAUUUGCACAAAAAUCCGCACAACCGUUUUCAUGUAAAAAAUUAAAUGAGCCAAUUAAAGGCAAUAGUUGAUGUGGCUUGGUUCCUUUCUGUUUAACGCGGUCCAUUUUUGAGUUCGAUCUAUAUUUCGAUGGCUGAAGUCUUAAAAAUGCAUUACUCUGAUCGCGGCGAAACACAUGGAUCUGACCCAUUGAAAAAUAACGUCAAAGAGAAGGAAAAAUGUUACCGGGAAUUCCUGCCAUGCUCAGGAAAAACGCCGUAUAAACCCUUAGACGUUGCCGUACUUCCUUCAAUAAAAACCGGAAUUUCUUGGAAAAUUGUUACUAUUAUUCUUCAAAUUUUUAGGUAAUUUUCCUCCGGGUUGUAUCUGAAAUAUCUAGAAAUUUCAAGAGAAAAUAUUCAUAGCUAUUCUCAAAAAUACUUGUUUUAUCCGGGGAAAUUUGGCAACUCUCGAAU
rnacentral:lncRNA from 1 species